rnacentral:rRNA from 1 species
AUUGAACGCUGGCGGCAGGCCUAACACAUGCAAGUCGAACGAGUGGCGGACGGGUGAGUAAUGUCUGGGAAACUGCCUGAGGGAGGGGGAUAACUACUGGAAACGGUAGCUAAUACCGCAUCCCAUCGGAUGUGCCCCGAUGGGAUUAGCUAGGAGGUGGGGUAAAGGCUCACCUAGGCGACGAUCCCUAGCUGGUCGGAGAGGAUGACCGGCGACACUGGAACUGAGACACGGUCCAGACUCCUACGGGAGGGAGCAGUGGGGAAUAUUGGACAAUGGGCGCAAGCCUGAUGCAGCCAUGCCGCGUGUAUGAAGAAGGCCUUCGGUUUGUAAAGUACUUUCAGCGGGGAGGCGUUACCCGCAGAAGAAGCACCGGCUAACUCCGUGCCAGCCGCCGCGGUAAUUC